UAGAGCAUAGUAUAACAAUAACAAGUAUACCUUGAUUACAACAAGAAGGUCAAGCUCUAAA
rnacentral:tRNA from 1 species